AACGUAGGAGACGAACGUUAUCCGGAGUUACUGGGCGUAAAGGGCGUGCAGGCGGUCUGAUAAGUUCGGCGUGAAAUAUUCCGGCUUAACCGGGAUAGGUCGUCGGAGACUGUCGGACUAGAGGGUGAUAGAGGCGUGUGGAAUUCCGGGUGGAGUGGUGAAAUGCGUAGAGAUCCGGAGGAACACCAAAGGCGAAGGCAGUGUCCUGGGGAGUACCUGACGCUCAGGUGCGAAAGCCAGGGGAGCGAACGGG
rnacentral:rRNA from 1 species